AGAUAUUUGGCCGACAUGAUGUUCAUCGCGUUCCCUUUACUCCUAGCUUUAUUUUCUCUCGUGAGUGGCAUUUCUCCAGAUGAUGAUUCGUCGACUGAACCAUUUGGCCUUUGGGUUUUCUUAGCCGUUUUUGGAAUUUCACUGGUCAUUACCUGCAUAGGCGCCUGCGCAAACUGUUUACAGAGGAAUGCAAGAAAACACCCCCAAGAUGCGACUUCUAUAAGGGGAACUGGAUUAACAAGC